CACGUGUCUUGGCAGACAUUCUGGAACCCUGGAAACUCACCCUGAAUGUCGCGGCAGACACUGUCAUUGUGCUCUCGUGCUGGGAAGAAUCAGGGUCUCUAGGAAGGCAGGGCUCCCAGGAAGGAGACUGCUCCAGGGUUUGAGCAGAGUUUGUGUGAUAUUCCCACCAAGGCCACUUGACACAAACCCCCACCGUCUUCCCGGGAUGUCAUCCUGCAGCUGCCAAGCCACACGUGCCCCCCACAGCCAGCCCUGGAGGCAGAACCAAUGUCCCCACUGUUCACAGGAGCAGGCAGGUCCCCCUCCAAGAUCUGCACAGCCUCCUUGCCCAACUCCUUCACUCACUUGCUCACAACUCUGCCAACUCCUUGGGGGCUGAAGCCUUCCCUGUCUGGUGCCCGGCCAUGUCUGCCCAGAGGGAGAGCCUCUCAGAGCUGCCAGGGGCUCUUCACAGUAGACAUGCCCAGGCGUAUAUACCCCAUCCUCGCCUAUUGCUGUUGGUCUUUUGUCCCAGUGAGCAGUGAUGGAAUAGAUCACAUUGGACACAUGUCAUCACACUGUUGUGCAAGCACGUUCCCAAAGCAGCUCCCAGCAGUCAGGCUGCUAGCAGGGUCACAGGUAAGCACCUCUAACUCCCUGAUAGCAACAGAUUCCCUUUCUAUUGCUGUUUGAUCACUUGACUGUUUUACCAGGACUGAGAGUGCUUAUUUCCCCACAG
rnacentral:lncRNA from 1 species